UACAGAGGGUGCGAGCGUUGUUCGGAAUUAUUGGGCGUAAAGGGCGCGUAGGCGGUGCGGUAAGUCACCUGUGAAAUCUCCUGGCUCAACUGGGAGCUUGCAGGCGAAACUGCCGUGCUGGAGUGUGGGAGAGGUGAGUGGAAUUCCCGGUGUAGCGGUGAAAUGCGUAGAUAUCGAGAGGAACACCUGCGGCGAAGGCGGGUUGCUGGGCUGACACUGACGCUGAACUGCGAAAGCUAGGGGAGCGAACGGG
rnacentral:rRNA from 1 species